AAUGGCCUAAAAUUGGAGCCUUUGAAAGAAAACAAUAUGUUUUCUUAUGCAGUACAAUGGCACAAACAAUAGCCACGCACACAGUUAUAGCGUUUACAACCUUGUCCACAAGGUUUGGCGCAGUCUGAAUCUUUGCUACAUUUAGCAUCAUUAGAUGGUAGCGGCUCAAAUACUGGCAAGCAACUACAUUUUCCGGUUUUUAACCCCCUCCCCUCCCGAGAUGUUCACAAUCCCCCCCCACACUCUGAGUCAUGAGUACAUGCUUCCGAGUUCAAUACACCUGCAAAUUAAAUAAUAAUUGUCAUCAUUUAUUUAUUUAUUUUAUUUAAUUAUUUGUUUUAGAUAUAUAUAUAAAAUGAAUUUGAGACAAACGAGAUUUAAAUCACAACAAUUGCAGCUCCUCUUUUAUCUCUAGACUAUAAACUCUUUUGUACAAAAAUUCUUUUAUGAUGUAACAAUUGAAAAUUAGAGUAGAGAAAUAUUGUAUAUACUUACAAAAUGCUACCAUAAGAAUGACGAAACAAGAAGCAAUGCCACAAGAAGCCAUUGUUUGCAAACUAUUGAGAGAUAUAACUAAGAAUUGAUUAUAUGAAGAUGAGCUAAUUAUGUACAAAGUGUGAGGUAUGUUACACAUUUUAUAGUUGAAUUUGUGAACCUUUUGAACCUAAUAUUAAAUAUUAUGCAAUAACAAGUUGAUUUUUUUUCCAAUUGUGUACAAAAUAAAAAUCUCAUAUUAGGAAAAUAGAGAUUUUGCAAUUUAAUAUUCACAUCACUUAUGGUAUAAGUUAAGAGUACAAGUAAAUUAGUUAUAGUUACCAUAUAUAUAUAUAUAUAUAUAUAUAUAUAUAUAUUGUUGACACCAUUUUUUGAUAAAACAGGGUCGACAUGGAUUUUAAAAGCAAAAACAAAAACGGGAGUCGCUACCAAUUCUUUUUUUUGAUGAGGUGUGAUCGGGUCACCUCGUAAAACGGUUGUUUUUAAUAAACGAUUUAGAUUUUAUUAAAACAACGAUUUUGGUCCACGAAAUUCAAAAAACAGGUUCGGGAGUCGAUUACGCACGAGGAAGGGUUAGCACCCUCGAUAUGCCAGAAUUGGUACCUAGUCGAUUACUUACUGUCUUGGUGUCGAAAAUUCAAAAACUCGAAAAGAAUUUAAAAAUACGAUCCCUCUUUAUAAUGUUGAUUUAAAAAUGCUUUAAUUAAAUCAAAAAAUGGAAAAUGCCUCCUUAUCUCGAAGUGACAAGAGGCCACGCCCAGUAAGUUAGGGCCCGACAUCUCAUACUUUGAGAGUGAGUUUGCAUUUCACUUUUUAUUUAAACCACAUUUAUUUUAAUUUUAAAAGGAUAUUCGGUUACUUAGAAUCAACGAGAAAUAAUCGAAACCCAGUAAGUUAGGGCACGAUUUUCUCGACUUUUCUAAAUAUAGAAUAUUGCCUUUAUUUUGGAAAUUUUAUGUGUUUGAAAUUCAAAAGGAUAUUUUGCUAUCUGGGUUUUACGAGAAAAUCGAGACCCAGUAAGUUAGGGUACAAUUUCUCAAAUUUCAAAAAUGCAAAAUAUUGCCUUAUUUAGCAAAAUUCCAUUUCGAAUAAUAGCGGGUAAUCUAUUUGAAGGUAAGCAUUUGUUUUGUUUCGAAUAAAAUAAAGCAAUCCACAUUGGACAACUAUGUUGGGGCUUAAUUUACGAAAUGAUGACAUGAAACAACAAUAUAAUAAUAAACAUGGAAUAAUGAUACAUGGAUAAUUGCACUAAUGUAUGAAAAUACGAGUAAACUAACUAUGGUAUACACAAUAUUAAUACACACUCAACACGCAUUAUUUGAAUACUAGUAUUAAUAAUUAAAGACGAAGAAAAAAAUAUUAAGUAGCAUAUAUAACAAUUUCAACAUGAGUAGCAUAAGACAAAUUAGAACCAAUAAAGUGCAGGAUAUUUUUUAAAAUGAUAAUAAAUGAAUUUUGAACAAAUAAUGUGGAAAAGAAAUAUUUAAAAAAUAUAUACACACAAAACUAUUUUAAAAUACAAUGUAUGAAAAAAUUUUAAAAAUAAGUAAUAUGUAUGUACAUGUAGACGCGUAAAAUAAGAAAAGAUUUAAAAUGGAUUAUAAACAAAACAUAAAAACAAAUAGCAUAGUUGAAAAGGCACAAAAUAAUUUUAGACUAAUUAAUGUAUAUAAUACAUUCUAAUAUAUAGGAUAAAAUAAUAUAUUAUGUACUUAGGAUAAAUAGCUAAAAGAAUUUACGUCAUAUAAAAGCUUAAAAUAAGUACAUAAAAAAAUAAGAGAAACUUUUUUAAGCAAAACAGUGAACUAAAGUAGACAAUGUGCACAUAUAUGUAUAUAUUUAAAAUAAAUAAUGUAUGUAUAUAAAAAAAACUUGAAAUAAAUAAAGAUGAAUUUAAAACAGUUUAUAAUAAUAAUAUAAGAGGAACUCUUAAAUACUAUAAAAUAAAAACAAAAGCAGUUUUAAAAGGAAAAAACGUAUAUAUAAAUGGGGCCUAAAGGGGUCAAAGGUGUGAUUGGAAUCAAAAUAAAAUUGAGGGGAUAAUUAAAAAUUAAAAGAUGGAAGGAGGGACUGAUUCGCAACGUGCUAAAAAUAUCAGGGAGCGAAGGAGCAAAUAUCCCAAGCCUUGUGCGCAGCGUUUCAGUGCGAAGGACUGCACGGUCAAAGGACCUAAUUGAAACAGACCCAGAACUCGCGGCCCAAAUCUAAAAGAAACAAAAGGUUGGAUUGCACUUUAGCGCAAGAUGGAGGGACUAAAUGCAUAAAUUACCCAUUAGGGCAAAGCAUGCGCAGAUCCCCCCAUCAAACGGCGCCGUUUCACUUAGCAUUUAAGCAAAAUUUCAUUCCAGCCUCUGGUCUCUUUUUUCUUUUCUUAGUUUCAAAGCCUUUCCCCCUUUUCUUUCAAGCACCCAACCCUUGGGUUCAUUGGCCUUCGGCGUGCCACCAUCACAGCCACCAAGGCCGGUGACCGGCGAUGGAGAAAAAGCUUCGAACCUUGGCCUUGGAACACCCCCGAAAGGCUAAACCCUCAAUCCCGAAAAAGAAAAAAAACGAAGAACCUCGGCGCCCUUGGGAUCUGGCGGCCGUGACGAAGGAGAUACCUCAGCGGGCACAAUUACGGCGCUUCCUCGGUAAGUUCCCUCUUCCCUUUUUUAUUACUUUUGAUUUUUUAUUACAGUUAUUUAAAAGCGAUUUGCAAAAGAAGAGAAAAUAAAAUAAGAUAAAAAGAAAACGAAGAGAACAGUUCAAAAUCAACGUUUAAAGUUCGGUUUCUGAGUUUCGAUUCUCUUAUAUGUGUUCGUAAAAAAUUACAAAGGUUGAAUCCAGGCUUUUAUAGCCGAAUUACAAUGCUUUCUUCUUCUUCUUUAUUAUCUAUUAACUACUAUUAUUGCCCGCGUGCUCAUUCAUUUGUGGCUGCAUUCAAUUCUUUGCAGGUGCUAGACGAGCGUGGUGAAGUGCGGCGGCGACGGCGUACGGGGAAUUAGAGCGGUGCAUAGGGGCAGGGGCGUGCAUGCGGCGCUGGAGAGGGUUAGGGUUUGCUCCUCUCUGCUGAAACUGUUAAUAUCAUUUGGGCUAGGUUUUUUUUUAACAUUUUGGGCCCGUUGGGUUUAUUUAAUUUUGGCUUUGGGCCACUACUGUAAUAGACUGUCUUAUUUUGGAUUUUGGGGCCGGGCAAAAAUGGGCUCUUACAGCUGCCCCUCUUUGCUCAUUUUCGUGUAACGAGAAUAGGGCAAAGACUAAGAAAGGCCAAUUUUGCCCGGUCUCGCCGAGUCUUGACUUCUUGGUGCCUUUCUUCUUCAAGUAGCCUCAUUCCAGUCCACUGUGUCUCAUUGCCUUGAUCCACUUCACUAUACUUCAGAGAGAUACGACUUCAAUCUACUCUGUUACAACUCCAUGGGGAUGAGAUUUGUGGUUUUAGUCUGCUCCACUACUGCUUAGGGAGAUAAGAUCUGUGGUUUUAAUCUGCUCCACUGCAACUCAGGGAGAUAGGAUCUGUUUUUUGAUCCACUUCCUACAAAUAUAGGAAGACAGGACCUGCUAUCUUCGAUCUACUUCGCGCCAAUACAUGAAGACAAGAUCUGCUUUCUUCGAUUUACUUCGCCACCAGUAUGGGAAGACAAGAUCUGCACAUUCGAUCCACUUCCUACCAAUAUAAGAAGACAGGAUCUGCUUUCUUCGAUCUACUUCACGCCAAUACAUGAAGACAAGAUCUGCAUCUUCGAUCCACUUCCUACUAAUAUAAGAAGACAGGACAUGCUAUCUUCGAUCUACUUCACGCCAAUACAUGAAGACAAGAUCUACUUUCUUCGAUCUACUUCACGCUAAUACAUGAAGACAAGAUCUGCUUUCUUCGAUCUACUUCACGCCAAUACAUGAAGACAAUAUCUGCAUCUUCGAUCUACUUUCUACCAAUAUAAGAAGACAGGACCUGCUAUCUUCGAUCUACUUCACUGCCAACACAAGAAUACAAGAUCUGCUUUCUUCGAUCUACUUCGCCACUAGUAUGGGAAGACAAGAUCUGCAUCUUCGAUCCACUUCCUACUAAUAUAGGAAGACAUGACCUGCUUUCUUCGACCUACUUCACGCCAAUACAUGAAGACAAGAUCUACAUCUUUUAUAACUUCAAUCCAUCCCACUGCAACUUCAGGGGUAUAGGAUCUGUUUCUUUGAUCUGUUCUCUGGGGAACAUGACCUGCAAAAUCCAUUUCAUGGACCUAUUUAUGCCUAGUGUUUAGGAUGUUACGAUUAGAAUGAAUCAAAUGCUCCUAACUAGAUGUGUAUGUAUGGUAUUUGUAUGAAUGCGGAACGUCAUGAGAAUGAUCCCUUUUUAAUGCUUAGGUUGUCAUUACUCGCUGUUCCUCAAAAUUCAACCACUGAUGCCUUCUUGUUCAGUUGGUAUCCUCAAAGGAAUAGUCACAAUUUAGAUUAUUCUUCCUUCAAUGCUUCUAACCCUUAGGUUGGUUAGUUCUAAACAGUAGCCCUGUUUCGGGUCCUUAUACUAUUUAGAAGCUUUCAGAGUAAUAUGCAGAACUCCAUCUGCUUGAAUAUUAUCAGUCCAGUAAUCGUUAUUUCAAUGCAAAAUGCUUGACAAAGAUUAUCAAAAUGGACAAAAUGAAAUUUCAUUGAGAGCAAAGCUCUAAACAAACAAGUCGAUCAAGAUAGCAGAUUUUGCUGAGAUACGAGAUGAAUAAGAUGAAAAAGAUUAUCACAAUGGAUAAGAUGGAAAUUUGUUGAGAGCGAAGCUCUAAAUGAACAAAUUAAUCAGGAUAACAAAAUUUUCUAGAAUACAAAAUAAGAAUAAAUUAAUCAAGAUGAAAAUAGGUGCCCCAGAUAUCGUAGCAUGAGCUUCUCUGCUUCAAACUUCUUGAGGACCCUUUUGAACUUGACAUGUGUUUAGAAGUCCUAAAAGACUUUUGUUGAUGCCCCAAGAUGUAGCAUCUCUCUUUCUUAUUAAUUCGGAGAUGAUAAGACUAUCAUAUCUUUGAUAAAAAAUUUGAACAGCCCAUUCUUGGGUUUUCAAUUCAAAACCCCUUUGGUCUUAAGGCGCCCUUUGCGGGUUUUCGCCUUGGCCUCUCCCUUUUUUUUAGGCAAAGUACCUCUUCACUGAAUCCGAAUUUACAGGAUUGGGCAAGCUUUUGCCAUCCAUCUCAGUUAAAAUUAAACCCCCUCCCGAAAAGGUUUUCUUUACUACAUAAGGUCCCUCCUAGUUUGGCAUCCACUUUCCUCUAAAGUCCUUUUGUAUGGGAAGGAUCUUUUUCAGUACCAAGUCCCUUUCAAGGAAGUCCCUGGGAUGAACUUUCUUAUUGUAAGCUCGUAUCAUUCGCUUCUGGUACAUUUGCCCAUGACGGAUAGCUCUCAGCCUCUUUCCUUCAAUCAAGUUUAGCUGGUCAUAUCAGGAUUGGACCCAUUCUGCUUCGUCUAACUUUAGUUCUGAUAAAACUCGAAGAGAGGGAAUUUCAACCUCAAUUGGUAGCACCGCCUCCAUUCCAUAAACCAAAGAGAAUGGCGUUGCCCCGGUAGAAGUCCUGAUAGACGUUCGAUAAGCAUAGAGGGCGAAUGGUAACUUCUCGUGCCAAUCUUUAUAGGUCUCAGUCAUUUUCCCCACAAUCUUCUUGAUAUUCUUAUUGGCCGCCUCCACUUCGCCAUUCAUUUUUGGACGAUAUGGUGAUGAGUUGUGGUGCUUGAUCUUGAAUUGACUACAGACCUCUGCUAUCGUGCUAUUGUUCAAGUUCAAUGCGUUGUCAGAUAUAAUCCUUUCAGGCAUUCCAUACCGACAUAUGAUGUCCUUCUUUAGAAACUUGCUGACGGCUGCCUUUGUGACAUUGGCGUAAGAAGUAACUUCUACCCACUUAGUAAAGUAAUCAAUCACUACAAAGAUAAAACGAUGUCCGUUUGAGGCCUUUGGUGAAUCGGCCCAAUGAUGUCCAUGCCCCACAUUGAGAAAGGCCAUAGGGAUGUCAUGACGUGAAUAGGUGAGGGAGGCACAUGAAUUUUGUCUCCAUAAAUCUGGCAUUUAUGGCGCUUCUUAGCAUACUUGACGCAGUCUCCUUCUAUGGUACACCAAUAAUAUCUGAAUCUCAUGAUUUGUCUAGCCAUUGUGAAACCGUUGGCGUGUGUUCCACAAACACCAUCAUGGACUUCUUCCAAGAUUUGCUUGGCCUCCACAGCGUCCACGCAUCUUAACAGCACCUGGUGCUUUCCUCUUUUGUACAGGAUCUCUCCAUCUAAGACGUAGUCACUAGCCAGCCUCCUCAACGUUCUUUUGUCAUUCUCAAUUGCUUGGUUUGGGUAUUCGCGAUUUUUACGUAUCGUAAUAUGUCCUGAUACCAAGGGUUGUCGUCUUUUUCUUCUUUCUCGUCAAUGUUACAACAUUGGGCUGGAACAUCAUAAAUGCUCAAUUGGAUAGGCUUCACAUCCACUGGUCUAUUUACUUUGAUCAUGAAAGCCAAUAUAGCCAAAGCGUCGGCCUUCUGAUUCUCGUCUCGUGGGAGAUAAGAAAAAGUGAUGUCGUCAAACUCCUCAAUCAAUUCUAGGACGAGCUUUCGAUAACUAAUCAACUUGGGGUCUCUUGUUUCCCAUUCACCUUUGAGCUGAUAAAUUACCAAUGCCGAAUCUUCAUAUACCUCAAGUACCUUGAUUUUGCGUUUCAUAGCCGUACGAAUUCCCGUGAUACAUGCUUCAUAUUCUGCCAUGUUAUUUGUGCAAUCAAAAUCUAGUUUACUAGUGAACGGAUAAUGAUCACCGUCUGGAGAUACCAAGACCGCCCCAAUCCCGUUGCCCACAGUAUUUGAGGCUCCGUCAAAGUUUAAUUUCCAAGCAUUGCUUUCUUGUGUAUUUGCUUUAACAGUUGCCACAUACAUCAGAUUCUCAUUUGGGAAAUCGAAGUUCAAAGGCUCAUAAUCUUCUAAGGCUCUGCUAGCUAGAAAAUCUGCUAUCGCGCUUCCUUUUACAGCCUUUUGAUUCACAUAGGUUAUGUCAAAUUCAGAUAGUAGAAUUUGCUAUCGAGCCAUCCUUUCGUUUAGAGCGGUUGACGCCAUCAUAUAUUUCAGAGGGUCUAACUUUGAUAUUAACCAAGUCGUAUGGUAUAACAUGUAUUGUCUCAAUCUCUGAGUAGUCCAGAUCAAGGCGCAGCAUAAUUUUUCAAUUGGUGAGUAUCUCGUUUCACAUUCAGUGAACUUCUUACUGAGACUGAGAUAGUAGAUUGCUCUUUCUUUUCGUCCUGACUCAUCAUGUUGGCCAAGCACACACCCCAUAGAAUUUUCAAACACUGCUAAGUAGAGAAUCAGCGGCUUGUUAGGGUAAGGUGGCAUCAGUACUAGGAAGUUGGACAAGUAAUGUUUAACUUUUUCAAAAGUUUUCUGGCACUCCUCGUCCCAUACACCUGGAUUGUGUUUCCUAAGAAGACGGAAAAUGGGGUCACAUUUCUCGGUUAACUGUGAAAUGAAUCGAGCGAUGUAAUUUAGUCUUCCUAGAAAACCUCGAACCUCUUUUUGAGUACUCGGUGGAGGUAAUUCUUGUAUGGCUUUAACUUUGUCUGGAUCAAUUUCAAUUCCUUUUUUGCUGACUAAGAAUCCUAGCAAUUUUUCUGAUCUAGCCCCGAAAGUACACUUGGCUGGGUUAAGUUUUAGCUGGAACUUCCUUAACCUUAGGAACAGUUUUCUCAGAACUUGCACGUGUUCCUCUUCUGUUCUGGACUUUACGAUCAUGUCAUCGACAUAAACUUCUAUCUCUUUAUGCAUCAUAUCAUGAAAUAAUGUUACCAUGGCUCUCUGAUACGUUGCUCCCGUAUUUUUUAACCCAAAAGGCAUCACUUUGUAGCAAAACGUCCCCCACAUUGUUACGAAUGUGGUCUUCCCCUUGUCUUCAGAAUGCAUCUUAAUUUGGUUGUACCCAGAGAAACCAUCCAUGAAAGAGAACAGUGAGUAUCCGGCCGUGCUGUCCACUAAGGUAUCGAUAUGGGGUAAUGGGAAAUUGUCUUUGGGACUGGCCUUGUUCAAAUCCCAGUAGUCCACACACAUUCGCACCUUCCCAUCUUUCUUAAGAACAGGGACUAUAUUGGCUACCCAUUCUGAAUACUUGACCACCUGUAAAAAACCAGCAUCAAACUGCUUCUUAACUUCUUCUUUUAUUUUCAGCAGAACAUCAGGCCUCAUCCUUCGGAGCUUUUGUUGAACUGGUUUGCAUUCUUUCUUUAUAGGCAGUCGGUGUACCACGAUAUCAGUACUUAACCCUGGCAUAUCUUGGUAGGACCAUGCGAAGACAUCUUUAAACUCUUGAAGCAACCCAACGAGGUCUUGCAUUGUUUCCUUGGUAAUACAAGCGCCAAUUUUUACCUCUCUGCCCACUUCUAAACUCACGACUUCUACUAAUUCCUUAUAGGGUAGGAUUUGUUUUUCUUCUUCCUACACCAUUCUUAACAAAUCCGAAGAUAAAACGCUACCUUGGUCAUUUUCAAAAUCCUGAGGAUCAGCCAUACUCAUGUCUUGUUCAAAUUGGGACUCUGAGUUAGCAACAGUGUCGCUCAUCUCGUUGAUAUCUGAAGACCUGUUAUUGGGACAAAGGGAUGCCCAAAUAAAAGAAUCUAAGAAUACUUGUAUGCAUGAUUAUAAAUGGAAUGAAAAGAAUGAAAGAAUAUUUGCUCAAGGUGAGACUGAAUGACAAGUUUUCAUUUAAAUGAGAUUUUGGACAUGUGCCUUUUACAAAAAAUUCUUAUUACCCCCAGGCUUAGGGCAACAAGUGUUCUGAAUAUUACUCUGAAUUAGUUCUAAAUGUUACAGGGAUCUCCUCCGCAGUCCAAUUGUUCAGAACACUUCCAGGUUCGUAAGGGCGAAUGCCCGAUAAAUUUUUUUCCAACCUUUCCUCUUCAAAUAUGGCAUUGAUGUCCAACCUUCUGGUCCUUCCUUCCGUAGCUUCAUUCUUCCCUUCGGGGUAGACAAUUCCCCUUGACACAAAUGUCCUAGAUAUAUGUGAAAAGGUCAUUGGUUUUCAUUUGGUUUCCAUCCCGCUCAAACGUGCUCUUCUUUUCUCUCGCUUUUUCUCCAAUUCCUUCUUUCUUUCCCUUGCGUUAGGCUUAUACCCCAAACCACAACGGUCCUGUUUGUUAACCAAGAUCUGUACUUCGACCCAUCCCUGGAGGUAUUUUCCAAGUCCUCUUCCAAGCAACGCUCUCUUUCCCAUUGUUAGCUGUAAACCCAUUGUCGUAGCUUUAGAUAUUUUAGGUGCUAGAAUUUUACUCCCCUCGAUGAAAAAUGUUGCGUUUACGAAUUCCAAUGAUCAGAAUAAACAUUUUAUCGUUUCACUAUCGGCCUCUAUAUAUGGCGCGUCAUUGGUAACUGAUGCGAUGAUAUCUUCUUUUGCACCUAUAGUUACUAAUCGGCCCUCUGUUACCAAUUUUAACUUUUGGUGGAGUGACGAUGGUACAGCCCCUGCAGAAUGGAUCCAAGGUCUCCCCAAUAGGCAAUUAUACGAAGGCUUAACAUCUAUCACUAAGAAAUUCACCUCGUAUGUAUUUGGGCCAAUCAAGAGGGGAUCUCUAUUCUUCUCAUUACCUUCCUUUCAGUGCCAUCGAAUGCUCUCACUAUAUUUUGGCAUGACUUCAUGUGAGAGCUAUCCACAGGCAGCCUGUUUAAAGUGGACAGGGGUAAGACAUUCAGUGCUGAUCCAUUGUCAAUGAGUACCCCCGGCAGUAUGCAUCCCUUGCAACGGGUAGUGAUAUGCAGGGCCUUGGUAGAUCCCAUACCCCCUGGCGGUAUCUCAUCUUCGUUGAAGAAGAUAAAGUUGUCGGCAUUUAUAUUGUUAACCAGGCGAUCCAACUUAUUCACUGAGAUAUCGUUAGCAACAUAAGUCUCAUUUAGUACUUUUAUCAACGCAUUACAAUGUGUCUCUAAACUUAGAAAUAACUCGAGCACUGAUAUGAGAGCCGGUUGCUUAUGCAGUUGUUCCACCACGCUAUACUUGCUAUGCUUCAAGAAUUUUAAGAAUUCUCUAGCCUCAUUUUCAGUCACCGGUUUGUUAACAUGCGGUUCAAUUUUGGCCGUUUGUUUUAUCUUGUUCAACCGCCAAGGCUUUUCUUUUUAUAGACUCCCCUUUUGUAUUUGCCAGGUCGUAGCGUUUUCCACUGUGCGUAUAGAAGCCUGUGUCAUUACCCUCUUCUGAAGCAUUUAUCGAGUUCUCCUCUCCCGGGAUCGUCACAUUGCAGUCAUAAUUCCAAGGAACCUUUUUGCUAUCCUUGUAAGGAAAGGCUACAGGUUUUUGGAUUAUAACCCUGGGUGGCAGUUGUAUUCUAGAUCUUGUGCCUCUUGGCCUUGAAAUAAUCACUACUGGGCGAUUUUGGGUCUCUCUCAUAGGUCCUUCCUCCGAGGCAUAGACUUCUCCUUCUUCUAGUCCUUUGAUCCCUUCAUAAAAUUCCACAUCUUUGUUGUUCAUCAGAUUUUGUACCAUGACCCUGAAUUCAGUGCAAUUUUGAAUGUCAUGGUCCUCUUUAGCAUGAAACUCGCAGUACGUCUUCGUUCCUUCGGGCCUUUCCAUUGAAUCUUGUUUGAUGAGACCUCAUUUUAUCAUUUGUCUCCAAACCCAACUCAAUGGGGUUUUUAUCUCCGCAAUGUCGGCCUUGAUUCUCUUUCUCCUACCUUCGAUUAUUGCGUUUACCCCUUUAUCAGAAUGAUUGGGUAAUGGACUCGCUGCUACGUUUGGUCCUGAUGGGUUGUCAAACUUCACGAUCCCCAUCUUAAUGAACCUUUCCACCGCCUUUUUAAACUCAGUGCAGUUCUCAAUUGAGUGCCCUGGUAUCCCUGCAUGGUAUUCACAUUGGGCAUUCAUGUCAUACCAUUUGGGGUAUAGAGGUUGCAUGGGUUCUAGAUAAAAUGGAGAUACUAUGUGUGCAUCAAUUAGCUUCUGAUACAGUUCCCCGUAUGUUAUUGGAAUGGGCGUGAAUUGAAGUCUCUCUGUGUUAGUCCUUGUAUUGGGCCUUGUGUUGGGUUUCUGCCUUAAGGGGGCCUGGUGACCAGUGGUUAUCGUUUUUGGUGGGCCAACAGUAAUCAGUUUUGAAUGACUCUUGCUAUAUGUGCAUACGUUGUUUACUUCGCCCUCUUUUUUCCUUGGGGCUGGUCUUUUGAAGUUUUCCCCUGCGUCUAUUUUACCGCGCCUUAUCGCGUUUUCAAUCAUUUCACCGGACAUUACCAUAUCCGAGAAGCUCUUGGUAGCACUCCCCAACAUGUGGUUGAUGAAUGGGGCCUUCAACGUAUUGAUAAAAGCAUGGAAACCUCUUUUUCCAAAAGGGGUGGCUGGACUUGCGUUGCCACCUCCCUCCAUCAUUGGGCGUAUUGCCUGAAACUCUCGUUUGUUUCUUUUCCAUAUUCUGUAAUGUAAUUCGAUCAGGUGUUAUGUCCGUCACAUGGCUAUAUUGCUUCAUAAAAGCUUGCGCCAAGUCUCUCCAUGAACUAAUUUUAGCACGACUCAGCUGGUUGUACCACUUGGCUGCAGACCCGAUCAAACUGUCUUGGAAGCAAUGGAUUAACAGUUGAUCAUUGCUGACGUAUCCCGUCAUUCUUCGACAGAACAUAGUUAUAUAAGCUUCAGGACAACUGGUCCCAUUGUACUUUUCAAACUCCGGCAUCUUGAAUUUAGGAGGGAGCACUAAAUCAGGAACCAAACUUAAAUCUUUGGCGUCAACUCCACAUUGGUAGUCGGUGCUCUCCAUGGCUCUAAAUUUCUCCUCUAGCCAUCUACACCAGUCCUCGAGUUGUUUUGGCAGGUCCAUUCUUACUUUUUCCAUUUCUGCCAUGUCAUCGAGAUCAAGGACCACAGGGUUGGUAGGGUUGUCCCCGGAGUUAGAACCUGAGCCUACUUGAAAGUGCCUUGGUACCGAGACGUCGACCCGAUAUUGAGAUCCAAUAGUCACAGGUGCUCUUUGGGGGCACAUCUCUAGCUGUGCCUGAGCGCUUGUCGGGGUAAAAUCUGGAGGAUAAACAGGGUCCUCCUGAUCAACUCCCAAAUUAAUUGCAGGGCUCUUUCCUUUAUCAGCCAAUAAUUGUGCCAGUUGGCUCAUGAUCCUUUGGGAUUCUAGCGCGUCCUGUUGGAUUUUAUCCAAUUGUUCUUGCAUCUUGUCUUGCAUAUCCUUUUGCAUUUGUUCCAGCCUUUCUAACCUCUGAUCCAUUGCUUUUGUUUGACGUCGAGUACCGUAGUGAUAUUUGGUUAGAUUUUUGUUGGUUUCCAGGGUAACUGUGACAAUUUUGAUUAAUUAGGGCCUUUUUAAUGAAACUUAAUGCGUGUAAUGAAAUGUAAUGCAAAUGCAUGAAUGCAAAGGGAGGCAUUGAUUCUAAUUCAAUUUUAUUAGAAGAACUCGAUUUAGAAAACAAAUUUCUUUACAUAAAAUGGACUACAUAUACGGCUUUGCCCUUAUACUCAAAGCCUUAACACUCCUAAGGAGCCGAGCUAACGCUCGACCUCGGCCUGAUUCUAAUUCAUCACUUAAACUCAGCACAUCAGCUUGAACUGCUAAGGUUUGCAGAUGAUCAGCUACUUCCCGUACUUGGGUAACAGCUUCACCCAUAAUGUAAUCUCUAUCUCUAAUCUGACUUUGGGCAUGAUGGAACUGCACCUGGUACUGUUCGUUACGUCUUUCAAGAAGCUCCAUUCGCAGUUCAGAAUUGUGCAAUGCGUCCUCAAGCUCCCCUAUCUUUCCUUUCAGUUCUUCGAUCUUAUUUAAGCUCACUCUUAACUCUAUCACAGGGUUGCGACUACGGUGCAAAUGAAGUGACUUUUCCAACUCUGCUACCCGGGCUUUUAAUCUUGCUUCUUCAUCCGGGCAUUCUGACAAGUUUUUCUCCAAAGCGCUCUCUCGAACUAGGGUGUCUUGAAAUUUCUUCUCCCACUGAUCAGCUUUGGUCUUUUCUUCUUUGAUCUCCUGUCGCCACUGCUCUGACGUUUUACCCAAACCGGCAGUUCUCAUCGAUAAUCGCAGCUUCUUAUAAUCCGUUUUUAAACUAUCUAAAUCUUCUUCAGCCUUGUUCUUCCCUUUCCUUAACUUUUCGGCUUCCAACUUGUGAAUAUCGACAUCUAAUCCCAAACGCAUCUUUUCCUCUUCUAGUUGCUCAAUUUUCUUUCCCAGCUCCGAACUUCUCCUUUCAAAGUCUUGUUUAAUGAUCUCUAGUUCUAACAGAACCACUUGUAGAUGCUCUUCUAUCGGUCGAACAUCCUCUUGGCUUGACACGGGGAUGUUAUCGUUGAUCCUUUUUUCCUACCACAAACUAUACUCGGGAGUUGUCAUUGGGUUUACAGCAAGUAUCUUCAUUCUGUGGAUUUGGUUCCAAGCAUUUGAUAUUUCACGAACCUUCUUCUUGUAAUUAUCUUCUUUGAAUGGAAAUUCACACUGAGCCAACCCUUGUGCUGCCGGUAUGAAUUGUCUAGAUCUGUACUGCCUCGAGACUAGCAAAGGAGCGUAAUCAAUGGCUCCCUAAAUUCCGAGCAAAGGACCCAAUCGAACUCUCCACAUCCUCCUCUUGAAGAUUUUAGAGAAUCAUGAUCCAUUUCUCUUCCGUGAUAUCGUCUCGUCUUGGCGCAGCCACUAGUUCCUUUAAUAGAGAGUAAUUUUUAGAGAAUACCCUAUAGAAGACCUUCUCUGCUCUCCAAAAGUGACUAUGGAACCACACUAAUAACAGUUGCGCGCAUCCGAUGAACCUUCCUUCACCCGCUCUUCGACAUGCAUUUAGAGAUCUGAAAGUUUCAGCCAAAAUUGCUGGGACCGGUGUGACCCUCUUGUCAAGCCUGUCAAACAAAUCUGAAACUGCUUCGUCUACAUGCCCUAACACCUUGGGGAAAAUGACCAAACCAUAAAUGCUCAAAGCGAAAAUAUACCCUUUUUCUCACAUCUGGAUGUGCCAAGAUCAGAUCUCGCAGAUUUUUCCAAGGCACGCACUUGUUGUCUCUUUUUUGCUUAAUCCGGGCUGCAACCCAUUGCUCGCUCAUCUCUGUAAUACUCAUUAAUUUCUUCAAGAAGGUCGGGACAUAUGUCGCUCUCGAAUAGGCCCUAUCGACUUGGAUCCUCGGACAUCGUAGCAAGGUCGUAUACUCUUCUAUUGUGGGUACCAAAUCUACCUUCCCAAACGUGAAACAACUGUAAGCGGGAUUCCAAUACUGCACGAGGGCUCGGAACAAGUGUUUGUCUACCUUUACGUCUAGCAGAUAAGGCAAAUCACCAUAGUUACUGUAGAAGAGUUGUCUGAUCUCAUCACUCCACUGACCCCUAAUCUCCUUCAACUCUUGUAGGUUGUUUUGAGUUACGCUGAUUCGAGUGAAGUCCCACAACUCUGACACGUAUCCCUCCAUGAAGCUAUCACCCUUUUCUUGCUGAAUUUUUUCAGACCAAACUCGGACUGCCGCAUUAUCUUCCACUUUACCAAGAAACUCCUUUUCCAUGCUGAGCUUUCUUUUUAAAUACUGAACGUGAAUCAACACCUCCUUUAUGAUGAGAAUGCCAUGCAAUCACAAUCAAGGUAAAAGCAAAGCAAGUCAGUACAAUAAACAAAAAUUCAAAGUAUACAAGAGAUAAUAAUUAAGGCUACUAUUCAAGAAACUACUAGGGUUCGAGGUGGUUCUACCUAGGGUAGGCUCCUCGGCUCAUUAUAUGCGGCUUGGUUCUAAAGUAAGGGUACCCGAACCAGCAGAUUCCUCGAUCUUCACCCAUUAUAGGCUCUGCUGCAAUAUACUUUUUAUGUUUUUGUAUCAUUUUGGUGUCCUUUUGUUUCCUCGAAGAUGGUUGAGGUUAGUUUGAUGGUGGUUAUUGGUGUUAGGAAAUACAAUGACAAAACAGAGAACCAAGAGGGUAGUUUGGUAGAUCUUCAAUUUCUAGUGUUAAUGUCAAGGUGUUGUUGCUAUUUACUGCUGGUUAUCUUUAUUGGCUGAGGCUGUAUUGUUUCUUUUGACAUUUUGCUGUCUUGCAUUGAUUAGGUGUCAUUCUGGAUAUGGAAUCAUUAUGUGGUGUUAUGAUUGACAUCACCACUUUUAUUCACCAUUUCAAUAAAAUUAUUUUCUAAAGGAAAAAAAAGGAUUAGUGUGAUUGCCAGGUUUGAUCCUUUCCAUUUCAAUCAGUUCACUUUAAUUUUUUUGACAGAAAAUAGUUUAGAGUUAAUUUUUUAAAAUGAUAAUGGUUAAAGACAAUUUUUUUAUUUACCUAAGGCAUUAGUUUUUUACUAUGUUGCAUAAUUAAAUUCGUAUAGAACUAUAUUUUUUUCUAUAUGACUUUGAUUAGAAUAAUGUUUUUCAGCCUUUAAAUAUAUGUAAUCGGAACUCUUCUUGUAUCAUUCUAUUUUCAACACUAGUAAAUUUUCUUCUCUUCUGUCCGUGAUUUUUUUCGAAAAAGUUUCCACGUAAAAUCUAUGUGUUUUUUUCUUAUUGCUUUGCGAUCGUUCUAUAUUGUCAUUGUCAACGUUCAAUUUUUACAGCAUAAUUUAACUAUAUAAAUAUAUUUUUUAAGAAACAAUAUAAACAUUACAAAGGAAGAAAAAUGAUAAAAUAUAAUCGAAGGUUAUUACUUAAUAGCCUAUGCAUUUAGGGGAAGAAAAUUGUAACCUCCAUUUUCAUUCUUUAUAUAUACCUUUUUAGUAAGAAUUUUGUUUUAAAAUAUUAUAAUCGAUCUACUAAUUGUAUAUAAAUUCAUCCAUUUGAACUUUAAAGAUGUCACUUGUUAUAAAUAUAUUUUGGAAUUAUAUUUGAUAUGCAUUAAAAUUCUUCAAUUCAUUAUUGAUUGAGUCUUAAUUCAAUUGACAUUGGCAUUGUUAACAGUGUAGGAGGACGUAAAUUCGAGUGCACUAAAGCGCAUUAUCCUCCUAUUUAAAGUUUGGGAAAGGACUAUGAAUAAUUCUAGACAUUGUAUCCAAAAAAUUCGUCAACUCAUUAAUGAGAAAAAUAAAAAAAAUUAAAAUUUUUUAAUAAAUACUUAAAAAUUUAUUUAAAUUUAAUUGAAAUUAAUUAUAUAUUUCUCUCUCUCUCUCCAAUUUUCUAAUCUCCCUAUCUGUGUAUUUACACAAAACUGAGAAAACUUUAGAGUUCAUUAAAAUCUUAAAAAAAAUUGUUGGAAUUUAUAAGAUUGGGAUUUAGGAUUAAAGUUGGAUUGAAGUGAAGGGAUUGUGAAAUUUGAAUAUCUGAAAAUUUGUCAAAGUCAAUAGUAUUCUUUUUUUUGGUUCAGGAAAACUCUUCAAUAAACUGGUUAUUAAGAGUCAUUUUCAAAAGCUAAUGCUCCCAUCAAAUUUAACAAUUUUAAAGAACAAUAAUUAGCCUCCAUCACAUGUAUAUAUUUUAAAAUAUUAUUUAUUUAAGCAACUGAUAAAAAGCCUAAAGUAAUUUAUAAAUUUUUCAAAAUUUAUAAUAAUAUAAAUCGAGUUUAAAGCAAUACUUUCAAAUUAAUUCUUGAAAGUAAAUUUUGUUAUUGUCUACCCUGGGCUUCUUAUAUCUCCCACAUUUCCACUUCCUUACAUACAAACUUCUAUACCAUACAGUAAAGUAUAUCAAAACCAAAUACUUAUAUGUUGCUCUGAUUAUUCAUUUUUCUUUCAAAUUCACCCUUCAAACAUAUGAAAAAAAACCAUAUAGCGGGGUAAAUGACGUUGCAACAAGGCUAUUUAGCACUUAUGGAGGUGAAAAAAGGGGUAAAGUUCAUGUUAGUGUGAUGAACGGAUUACAGAUAAAUGAGUGAUAUUUAUGCUUUGAUGGAGUGGUGGGAAGAACUCAAGAGACCAUUGAGCUUGAAAAGGGUCUAAAAAUGGGAGGUAUUUUGUCGAAAUAAGAUGAUGAAGAAAUUCUUAUUUAAAUUAACAAUUCAAAUCUUGUUGCCCUCUUCAAUGCUUGUCAACUUGAAAUCUUGUGAUUCUAACAUUUUGUUGGGAUUUUUGUUUCCUCAAUUAAAUUGUUAAUACAAGGGAAAAAAAAUCUUCGAAUAUUUUGUUGGGAUUUUUGUUCCCUUCAACAAGGGGUGAAGCAAGAAAAAUGUUUUAAGGCCAGAAAUGAAUAAUAACUUUUUUGGAAGCCGAAGUACAAUUUUAUCAUUAUCCUAACUUGUAAUUUCAUUAAAGCUAAAAGAAUUACAUAGAUAAUUUUUCCUUUUGGGUCAAAAGGUCACUCACUACCAACCCCGUCUUUGCCCCUGCCCACCAAUCAAAUGUUAAUAGAAGGGAAAAGAAAAAAAAAACUUUGAGCACUCAAACAUGUCUCUUUCAACACAACAAAUAGAUUUAUAAGUACGAUUCAAUAAAGAAUUAAUGAAGUAUCUAAUUCAUCAAUGCAAGACCAUCAAGAAGAUUUCUAAAUGUAAAUUUUAUAUGUUAGAUAUGUCACGAUUACACAAUAUAAAUAUAACACGAAAAAAACAUAAACGUAACACGAAUACAUUAUUCAUAUUUAAAUUGGAAGCACGGUUUUAAUUAUUAGUUUAUUAUCUAUAUAUUUCAAGAUCAACCAAGUUGUUUUUAGUAUAACAAAAAACAAAUUAAUCCUCUCAACACCCUUUUUUUAUUCACUAAUUUUUAGUACAAAUUAUUGAAAGGCCUAAAAUUGGAGCCUUUGAAAGAAAACAAUAUGUUUUUUUAUGCAGUACAAUGGCACAAACAAUAGCCACGCACACAGUUAUAGCGUUUACAACCUUGUCCACAAGGUUUGGCGCAGUCUGAAUCUUUGCUACAUUUAGCAUCAUUAGAUGGUAGCGGCUCAAAUACUGGCAAGCAACUACAUUUUCCGGUUUUUAAGUCACAAAAGCCGAGAUGUUCACAAUUCAAUUGACA
rnacentral:lncRNA from 1 species